AGCGAACGUUAGCGGCAGGCUUACACAUGCAAGUCGAACGAGAAAGUAUGCGCUUGCGUAUACGAGUAGAGUGGCGCACGGGUGAGUAACACGUAAACAAUCUAUCCUUUGGUUGGGGAUAACUACUGGAAACGGUAGCUAAUACCCGAUAAGUCUGAGAGGUCUGCGGAUUUUUCAGAGAAAGGCGAGACACGCCGGAGGGUGAGUUUGCGUCCCAUCAGCUAGAUGGUAGGGUAAGGGCCUACCAUGGCGAUGACGGGUAGCUGGUUUGAGAGGAUGAUCAGCCACACUGGGACUGAGACACGGCCCAGACUCCUACGGGAGGCAGCAGUGGGGAAUAUUGGACAAUGGGGGCAACCCUGAUCCAGCCAUGCCGCGUGAAGGAAGAAGGUUUUCGGAUCGUAAGCUUCUGUUGGGAGGGAAGAAAGACCGUUUUAUAGACGGUGAUGACGGUACCUCCUUAGCAAGCACCGGCUAACUCCGUGCCAGCAGCCGCGGUAAUACGGAGGGUGCGAACGUUGCUCGGAAUCACUGGGCUUAAAGGGCUCGUAGGCGGUUAUGUAAGUUAGGUGUGAAAUCCCCGGGCUUAACCCGGGACGUGCACUUAAAACUGUGUAACUGGAGUACAGGAGAGGAUAGCGGAAUUCCCGGUGUAGAGGUGAAAUUCGUAGAUAUCGGGAAGAACACCAGAGGCGAAGGCGGCUAUCUGGACUGUAACUGACGCUGAUGAGCGAAAGCGUGGGUAGCGAACAGGAUUAGAUACCCUGGUAGUCCACGCUGUAAACGAUGAGUGCU
rnacentral:rRNA from 1 species